rnacentral:rRNA from 1 species
AAUAGUUAGUGGCAGACGGGUGAGUAAUGCAUAGGAAUCUACCUAGUAGUAUGGGAUAGCCACUAGAAAUGGUGGGUAAUACUGUAUAAUCCCUGCGGGGGAAAGAUUUAUCGCUAUUAGAUGAGCCUAUGUUAGAUUAGCUAGUUGGUAGGGUAAAGGCCUACCAAGGCGAUGAUCUAUAGCUGGUCUGAGAGGAUGAUCAGCCACACUGGAACUGAGAUACGGUCCAGACUCCUACGGGAGGCAGCAGUGGGGAAUAUUGGACAAUGGGCGCAAGC